AGCAGGGAGGCAGAGCGCAUCACAUCAGACGCUGCUUUGCAUCCAAAAAAAUCUCAAUCACCACAUCAGGAGCCACUGUGACCGACGGAGCCUCUUCUCGGUCACAGCUGAUGUCAGAUACAUCUGAAGAGAAAGGAGACAAGCUUGGACAAACAAUCAAAUAAACAGCAGAAAAACACAUAGACGCACUUCACUGAGACGCACGUCCAUCGCCGGAGGCAGCGAGCGGACCACUGUGCAGAGGAGCGCCGUCUCUCUGCGUACUGGCAUCUGGAUCCACAUCAGACACAGAGUGGACCAAUCUUGAAUCAUUGUGCCGAUUCAACUUACUCCUAGACAUCAAUAUUCCAGUGGAGCAAACCAAGAAGCAAAGUCAUAAUUGAUGUGAAAGUGUGCAGAAACCGAAGGCUUUGCUGAUUCACAGAGGAGCUCCAUAUGCAAAGG